CCCAGAGAACCUGUGUCUACUUCUGAGCGCUGGGAAUGAAGCAGAUCUCGCAAAAGGGGAGGAAGGCCUUCACCGCUGAACCCGAGCUUUGCCAUUUCGAAGUGCUGAGUCACCUCGUCCUCUCAGGGUCAGACACUUUCACGCAGGAAACGUCCUGCAGAGCACCGCAGCGGGAGCACCGAGCUGACCUGGAAGGAGAGAACAAGGGCCUUCCUGAGGCAGGACAAGGACCCAGAACUACCCAGAAUGCAGCAGGGCGGCCCCGCACGACUGAGCUCUGAUCCUAACCUGCAAAGUGAAGUUUCAAUUUCCACUUCCUGAGAAGGUCAGGUGUAUAGGUGUGAACCAAGUGCACGUCUAGUUCCCUUGGAGGCCAGAAAGAAGGCGGUGUCAGAUCCCCAGGAACCAUAGUUACAGAUGGUUGAUGUGGAAACUCAGAGAGGAUGCCACUGUUUUGAACUAUUUUGAAGGCACAGCCACCAGAGCUUUAGGUCAGAAGAGGUCCUUGGAACUGGAAUUACAGGUGGCUGUGAGCCUCCAGGUAGGUGCUGAGAAUCAAGCAGCCUGGCUCCUCUGUAGGAGCUCUAAGGAAUGCUCUUACCUGCUGAGCCAUCUGUCCAGCCCUGAUUGUCCUGGCUGUUAAUUGAGGAAGGAAGACUUACUCUGAGGGAGGGCUGAGCCAGUCCCCAGGCUGCUCCCUGAAUGGUAUGUAGAGGAGGGGAGCCAGCUAAGCACUGACCAGCGAGGGUGUGCACAUUUUCUUUGGUCUUUGUUUUGAAUGUGGUGUGGCUGGCUGCUUCAAUUCCUGACUUGAUUUCCUCAAAAGGAUAGGCUGUAACCCAGAAUGGUAAACUGCCUU
rnacentral:lncRNA from 1 species